CCUACGGGAGGCAGCAGUGGGGAAUAUUGGACAAUGGGCGAAAGCCUGAUCCAGCCAUGCCGCGUGUGUGAAGAAGGUCUUCGGAUUGUAAAGCACUUUAAGUUGGGAGGAAGGGCAGUAAGUUAAUACCUUGCUGUUUUGACGUUACCAACAGAAUAAGCACCGGCUAACUUCGUGCCAGCAGCCGCGGUAAUACGAAGGGUGCAAGCGUUAAUCGGAAUUACUGGGCGUAAAGCGCGCGUAGGUGGUUUGGUAAGAUGGAUGUGAAAUCCCCGGGCUCAACCUGGGAACUGCAUCCAUAACUGCCUGACUAGAGUACGGUAGAGGGUGGUGGAAUUUCCUGUGUAGCGGUGAAAUGCGUAGAUAUAGGAAGGAACACCAGUGGCGAAGGCGACCACCUGGACUGAUACUGACACUGAGGUGCGAAAGCGUGGGGAGCAAACAGGAUUAGAUACCCCUGUAGUC
rnacentral:rRNA from 1 species